UACGUAGGGAGCAAGCGUUGUCCGGAAUCAUUGGGCGUAAAGCGCGCGUAGGCGGCCCCGUAAGUCCGCUGUGAAAGUCGAAGGCUCAACCUUUGAAAGCCGGUGGAUACUGUGGGGCUAGAGUCCGGAAGAGGCGAGUGGAAUUCCUGGUGUAGCGGUGGAAUGCGCAGAUAUCAGGAGGAACACCAAUAGCGAAGGCAGCUCGCUGGGACGGUACUGACGCUGAGACGCGAAAGCGUGGGGAGCGAACAGG
rnacentral:rRNA from 1 species